CGUACGUGUAUUCGAUACCCGGGGCAUGCGCAGACCUGCAUUGGCAGGGAAUCGUACUCAUCGGGAGAGCUCUCCGGCUCUCCAACAUGGUGUCGGGCCCUCCCUCCUCACCUGCGGAUGAAAGGAUGAUCCGUGUGUGGGCGCAACUCGCUCAGUAUCACGCGAUAAAGAGCAGGGUUAAAAUCCAUCUGGUCCUGGUGUGGAAUUUUUGCUAAUGUAAUGACCGAAUUGGUCUAGUCCAGUGCAGCCCUUUUGCUACUGAAAGAAUGAUGAUGAUUUCUGUUUAGUUCUCUUAUUUGCCUUAAAAGGUUUGCUUUAGUCUCAUGGUACAGGACACAUCCCGAAUUCUCUUCCUGCAAGCUUAUGUUUCAAAGCAGCAUCAUAACUGUAUCUGUCCCUCUCUAUAAAAUUUCUAUUGGUUCAGAUUUUGUGCACCACAGAUGGCUGAUACUCCACUACCUGGUAAUGCGUCCGAUUUUACUUCAGAAACAGGUUAUUAUACUACUCUAGCUUCUAAAAGAUCUUCUUUUCAAUUUACUGAACAUUUUAUUGCACUGUCAUUCCAGAUUGAUUUCCCUAUUAUGAGUUUAUGACUCAUAGAUGGCCUUUUCUUAUUACCAUUUUUGUCAAGAUUACUUUCACAUAUGUUGUAUAUACUGUGAGUGUACAACUCUGUCAAGAUGGUUGUAAGAGGAAUUUUAUUUUCUCCUACCAUGUUUUUCCAAGAUUGGACAUUCAAGUUUUUUAUUAUCUUUCAGGUAAUUCAUUAUUUCUUGAAUCCCUCUCAACUACUGCAAGUUUUUUUGCAAUUUGCUAAUAGAAACUAGAGUUAGCAACUUAGUAUGGCUGCCUAGUUCACCAAAUAUUCUGCGGUCAAUAUAAACUCAUAUACUUGUUGACAGGUUUCUGUGUCACAGUGAAACGGAUGUAUAUCUAUGCUGGAUGACGUGUGUACUUUUUUGCAGGUCAUGAUAUGUUUCCUCACAGUUCAAGUUCAUAUUCUGGAAGGAUGUUGAUCCACGAACCUGAUAGUAUUGGUAUAGAUAAAUUCGAUGAUUUUAAAUGUUCCAUGUUUGCUUACUCUACAUACUUUUCACUUAAGUAUGUGUUUACAGUAUCGGCCUAGUGUGUAGUGAUGCUUGAUUAAGCAUCUGCCUUUAACUAGGAAACUCAUUCUUCAGUAUACGUUCCAUUGUAGCGUAAUUUAGGCUUCGUUAGAGAUACUUCAUUAUUUUACCCCACAUGUGAUCACUUAACAUGUUAGUAUUUUUUUAUGCCACUCCUCAAUCCUGAUAUACAUGCAAAUUCACGAUGAAAGAGCGAAAUCCUGAUGAAUUUUGAGCUUACCUUUUAACUUAAAUUAUUACUGACAAGUUGUUUGUAUUGUACCAUGGUAAGUUAGUCUUUCGUCUUCAUGCAACAAGGAAAUAUCUGUUCGAUGUUUGUUUAUUCAUAAAUUAUGUAAGGAAAGGAUUGGCAAUUGUAUUUUAAUGCUUCAAGCAAUCAAGUUUCAGCUUGGCAACACACUCUGCAAUGUUUGGUAUUAAACAUGCAGCUUUUGGUUACAAUAUGUUUCAGUUCACAGACAUGCUGCAAUGCAUAAUCCAUUGACAAGGAUUCCUUCUGAAAUGUUUCCUCCACUGCAGGCAAAUAUAGCUCCUGAGCGACGAAGAGGACCACGGCCACUGCACAACUCCACAGGCCGGCCCUCCAGAGCAGUCACAAGCCCGCCCCCGCGAGCCGUGACCUCUCCAUCGCGCACAUGUGUGCCACCUCACCGCCAUCGCGCACAGGUUGAGCAGGCAACCUCACCUCCCCCUUUAUCUGGACAAGCUCAACUGUCGCGACGAGGAUGGAGGUCAAUACCACUGCACCCCCAUCGGCAUACGAUACAGGGUCACAAGCGGUUUGACUGGGUCAAGGAAUUGAGGAGCUGGUCCGAUGAUGGUCUGGAUUAGUUGAUCGCCAAUCGGCGCUGGCGGAGCAGGGUCACCGCCGCGCGAUGGCAGUGGAUUGACUCAUUCACGUAGUUGCAUUUUUAAGGAACUGUAUAUGUUGAAUAGUCCAGGAGUAUUUGUGAUUCUUGAGACAGAAUAGUGAUGUUGCAUAGGGGCGUUUGCCUUUUCGAGCUGUUGGAAACUAAGAGAAGUACAGUAUGAUAAGUUCUUGUCAGCAGGUUUAUUGGGAACUCUAUAUGUUGAAUAGUCCAGGAGUCGUAUGUGAAAUUUUUGAGACACUGCGCAGAACAUUUAUGUAGCAUUGGGGCGUUUGCCUUUGAGAGCUGUUGAAAACUAAA